ensembl:snRNA U6 U6 spliceosomal RNA
GAGCAUAUAAGAGCAGCACAUACAUUAAAAUUGGAAUGAUAAGAGAAGAUUAGCAUGGCCCCUGCACAAGGAUGACAUGCAAAUUCAUGAAGCAUUCCAUAUUUUU